GAGUUUGAUCGUGACUCAGAUUGAACGCUGGCGGCAUGCCUUACACAUGCAAGUCGAACGGCAGCACGGGAGCUUGCUCCUGGUGGCGAGUGGCGAACGGGUGAGUAAUGCAUCGGAACGUAUCCUGGAGUGGGGGAUAACGUAGCGAGAGUUACGCUAAUACCGCAUAUUCUGUGAGCAGGAAAGCGGGGGACCUUCGGGCCUCGCGCUCUUGGAGAGGCCGAUGUCGGAUUAGCUAGUUGGUGAGGUAAAGGCUCACCAAGGCGACGAUCCGUAGCAGGUCUGAGAGGAUGAUCUGCCACACUGGAACUGAGACACGGUCCAGACUCCUACGGGAGGCAGCAGUGGGAAUUUUGGACAAUGGGGGCAACCCUGAUCCAGCCAUGCCGCGUGAGUGGAGAAGGCCUCGGUUGUAA
rnacentral:rRNA from 1 species